rnacentral:rRNA from 1 species
CGCGGCCUAUCAGCUUGUUGGUGAGGUAAUGGCUCACCAAGGCGACGACGGGUAGCCGGCCUGAGAGGGCGACCGGCCACACUGGGACUGAGACACGGCCCAGACUCCUACGGGAGGCAGCAGUGGGGAAUAUUGCACAAUGGGCGAAAGCCUGAUGCGGCGACGCCGCGUGAGGGAUGACGGCCUUCGGGUUGUAAACCUCUUUCAGCAGGGAAGAAGCGAAAGUGACGGUACCUGCAGAAGAAGCGCCGGCUAACUACGUGCCAGCAGCCGCGGUAAUACGUAGGGCGCAAGCGUUGUCCGGAAUUAUUGGGCGUAAAGAGCUCGUAGGCGGCUUGUCACGUCGGGUGUGAAAGCCCGGGGCUUAACCCCGGGUCUGCAUUCGAUACGGGCUAGCUAGAGCGUGGUAGGGGAAAUCGGAAUUCCUGGUGUAGCGGUGAAAUGCGCAGAUAUCAGGAGGAACACCGGUGGCGAAGGCGGAUCUCUGGGCCAUUACUGACGCUGAGGAGCGAAAGCGUGGGGAGCGAACGGGAUUAGAUACCCUGGUAGUCCACGCCGUAAACGGUGGGAACUAGGUGUUGGCGACAUUCCACGUCGUCGGUGCCGCGGCUAACGCAUUAAGUUCCCCGCCUGGGGAGUACGG